CGGACGGGUGAGUAACGCGUGAGGAUCUGCCCUCAGGAGGGGGACAACGACUGGAAACGGUCGCUAAUACCCCAUAUGCCGAGAGGUGAAACGUUUUUUCGCCUGAGGAUGAGCUCGCGUCAGAUUAGCUAGUUGGUGGGGUAACGGCCUACCAAGGCGACGAUCUGUAGCUGGUCUGAGAGGAUGAUCAGCCACACUGGGACUGAGACACGGCCCAGACUCCUACGGGAGGCAGCAGUGGGGAAUUUUCCGCAAUGGGCGAAAGCCUGACGGAGCAAGACCGCGUGAGGGAUGACGGCCUAAUGGUUGUAAACCUCUUUUCUCUGGGAAGAUAAUGACGGUACCAGAGGAAUAAGCCUCGGCUAACUCCGUGCCAGCAGCCGCGGUAAUACGGAGGAGGCAAGCGUUAUCCGGAAUUAUUGGGCGUAAAGCGUCCGUAGGUGGUUAAUCAAGUCAGCUGUUAAAGAGCGGAGCUUAACUCCGUUAGAGCGGUUGAAACUGAUUGACUAGAGUUUGGUAGGGGUCGAGGGAAUUCCCAGUGUAGCGGUGAAAUGCGUAGAUAUUGGGAAGAACACCGGUGGCGAAAGCGCUCGACUGGGCCUGAACUGGCACUGAGGGACGAAAGCUAGGGGAGCGAAAGGGAUUAGAUACCCCUGUAGUC
rnacentral:rRNA from 1 species